AACUAUAACCGUCCUAAGGUAGCGAAAUUCCUUGUCGGGUGAGUUCCGACCCGCACGAAUGGCAUAACGAUGUGGAGACUGUCUUGACCAUGUCCUCGGCGAAAAUGCAAGUGUCGUGAAGAUGCGACGUACCCGCAGUUAGACGAAAAGACCCCAUGAAGCUUUACUACAACUUGACAUUGGUACAUUGUUUUACUUGUUCAGCAUAGGUGGGAGCCUUCGGGCGCCGGUGAGAUACCACCCUUGUAAUGCGAUGUCCCUAAUCUUAUGCCCUGAAUCGGGUGUGGGAGACAGUGUCUGGUGGGUAGUUUAACUGGGGCGGUUGCCUCCCAAAUCAUAACGGAGGCGUUUACAAAGGUCGACUUAGCUCCGAUGGAAACGGAGCUGGACGUGCAAACGCAAAAGUCGGCUUUACUGCAAGGGCUACCACCCGAGCAGUCACGAAAGUGGAAGUUAGUGAUCCGACCAUUCAAUAUAGGAUGGUGGAAGCUCAACGGAUAAAAGCUACUCUGGGGAUAACAGGCUGAUCGCGCCCAAGCGUCCAUAGCGACGGCGCGGUUUGGCACCUUAACAUAUCGGGGUGCAUAACAAGCGAUUGUUUUCCCAAAUUUUUUCGUCGAAAUUAUUAAAUUAGAUAGUGAGAAUAAAUAUCGGCUUAUAACGGUGAACCCGUCAGUUGCCCCACCGGCAACCCGGCAAUACCGUGGGAAGUCCUACGAAUAGCGCUUUGCGCAUCGUGGUGACCCCGUAACGACUGACCCGAAAGGGGAGGCUUUCUACUAUAAAACGUAGAUUGCAACACGCCGACUCUUGCUGAGUCAAACUGAGAUUAUGCACGUCUUUACUGUAAGUAAAGAUAGCUACGAUCCAGAGCAAGAAGAAGAUAUAGUCUACCCCAUACGAAAGUAUGGAAUCAUGUACGAUGUCGGCUCAUCGCAUCCUGGGGCUGGAGAAGGUCCCAAGGGUUUGGCUGUUCGCCAAUUAAAGCGGUACGCGAGCUGGGUUCAGAACGUCGUGAGACAGUUCGGUCUCCUAUCUACUGUGGGCGCAGAAUAUUGAAAGAACUCUUUCCUAGUACGAGAGGACCGGAAAGAACGAACCUCUGGUGUACCAGUUGUGUGCCAUGCAUUGCUGGGUAGCUAAGUUCGGCAUAGAUAAGCGCUGAAAGCAUCUAAGCGCGAAGCUAUUCUUAAGAUUAAUAUUCGUUUGAGAUUCGUCAGAGACUAUGACGUUGAUAGGCGCUAGGUGAAUAGCCAAGGCGUACUAAUAUAUCGAGCACUACAGAAA
rnacentral:rRNA from 1 species